ACGAACGCUGGCGGCAGGCCUAACACAUGCAAGUCGAGCGGGAAGCCACCUUCGGGUGGUGGAGAGCGGCAGACGGGUGAGUAACGCGUGGGAACGUACCCUUUGGUUCGGAACAACUCCGGGAAACUGGAGCUAAUACCGGAUGAGCCCUGCGGGGGAAAGAUUUAUCGCCGAAGGAUCGGCCCGCGUCUGAUUAGCUUGUUGGCGGGGUAAUGGCCCACCAAGGCGACGAUCAGUAGCUGGUCUGAGAGGAUGAUCAGCCACACUGGGACUGAGACACGGCCCAGACUCCUACGGGAGGCAGCAGUGGGGAAUAUUGGACAAUGGGCGCAAGCCUGAUCCAGCCAUGCCGCGUGAGUGAUGAAGGCCCUAGGGUUGUAAAGCUCUUUCGCACGCGACGAUAAUGACGGUAGCGUGAGAAGAAGCCCCGGCUAACUUCGU
rnacentral:rRNA from 1 species